UACGUAGGCGGAUUAAUAAGUCAGUGGUGAAAUCCCGAAGCUCAACUUCGGAACUGCCAUUGAAACUGUUGAUCUUGAAUUUGGUUGAAGUGGGCGGAAUAUGACAUGUAGCGGUGAAAUGCAUAGAUAUGUCAUGGAACACCGAUAGUGAAGACAGCUCACUAAACCAAUAUUGACGCUGAGGUACGAAAGCAUGGGUAGCGAACAGGAUUAGAUACCCUGGUAGUCC
rnacentral:rRNA from 1 species